CAUGAUCCAAAACUCGGACCCAAACUUUUGGGCCUUCGGCCCGAUACCUCUGGAGCCCAUUUUUUGGGCUUAGGGCUUCGAUGUGUCCAAAAAAUGAAAAAAUUCAGAUGCGGCUGGCUGCGAUUAGGGUUUGGAGAAGAGGAAAUUCCGGUCGAUCUCGGAAUCGGAGAACGGUGUUUGUUUUCAGAUCCGUAUGCUGAAACGCUUGAUUUGAUGUUGAAAAUCGUUAUCUGUAUCUGGAAAGAUCAGAUUUUGGGUUUUUGUUUGGGUAGAUCGAAUUGGAUCUGUAGAGAUGGAGAGUGGGUUGAAACUGAGGAUUAUGAUGAAGAUCUCUUUGGUAAUUAUCCUCAUGUUACUCGAUCUGAUACUAUUGAUGGUUGUAAAUGAAGGAUUCGCCAAAAAAAGAAUAUAGACUUGAUUGUUGACUUGGUCGUUUUCAACUUUCCAGUCUGAGGUUAAAAAGUGAUAAUAAUUCAGCUGAAUUUGGAUCUGUAGCAUAGAUCAAAGCCAUGUAUAAUUGUGGUGUAAUAUAUGUAUUUGAAGUUAAACAUGGAUGAUCAGCAGCUGAUGGAUCUGGGUUUUUGGAGGUAUUAUGCUUCAUAAUUCAUAUUUAGUAUUAUACUCAUCAAUAUUUUGAAUUAUAUAUUAUGAGAUGUGGAUUUUAGACUGGUAACUGCUAAUAUAAACAUUUCAAAUUUAUAUUUUUGUAGACAAAAGUAUUAUGCUUGGAGAUUUGGGAUGAGAGUAAUUUGAGUGAGAGAAAUAGAGCUCAACAUAGAGAUUGAAAGGUGUUUCUGAGAAAAGAAUGAGGACCAUCAACUUUGCCGGGUGUAAUGGACCCCAUUGCCGUCUUCUGUUCAAAAUGUAAGGCAUACUCAUGAGGGUUGGUGUUACCCCUAAAAUCUUGCACCUUAGGCAUCAUGUAUUUAGACAAAGCCUCCACAUUGAUAAUAUUUCUGGUGUACACGAUAAUGUGCUUGCAGUGUUCACCAGAUCUUUGUGAUCCGAUCGGUUUUAACAUUCAUCUUGCUCUCCAUUGUGACUAUUUUCUCCAUCGUGGUCCUAUUCGUUCAGCUGGUGAUGAUUACUGUUCAGGUAGAUUCUGCCCACUUGAUCUUCCAGCCGUUAUUCCCUCGUGCAGUGAUCCAGGUUCAGUGCCUUCGAUAUGUCCUGCAGGGGUAACUGGAGGAACGACUGCCUCCUUAUAGGUUCUCGAAUUCAUUUUAGUGUAUUGGUUUCUUUUUAUUUGACAAAGUGAUUUAAUGUGGUAAGAUAAAAAAUUCACACUACACAUCAUUAUGAUAAUAGAAGCACAUGAUUGUAUCUAGAGUUAGGCCACUUUAGUACACUAUCACACAUAUUUACAUUGUGCUAAUCUCGUUCUCUCUCAUCGCUCACUGGUUUUUGUUUUCUCACUGAAGAAAGAAAAACCAUUUUCUCAAAUAUCAGUCCUAUGAUUUCUUCAUAAUUUUCGGAUAGAUCAGUAACUUCAACUGGGUAUGUAAGUUUCAUAGGUUCAUUCAUUUUUGUUGUUUCUUUUUUUCUCGAUCAGUUGGUGAUGUACUAUAGUGUGACAUAGUUCUAGAUAUAAUCACGUGCUUCCAUGAUCAUAAUGAUGUGUAGUGUGAAUUUAUAUCCCUCAUAAUGAUCAUUAAAAGAAACGAAUACAAUAAAAUAAUAAUUGGAGUUACCUCA